GCAAAAUGUUCGAGCCACAGGCAUAACUUGAGGACCAGGACAUGGAAUCAGCAUUGGGAGCUUUGGAGCUGGAAAUUCUUCGGUUUAUGUGUCUAAUGUAAUAGUGAAUAGAGCAACACUUUCGAGAACCACCAAUGGAGUUAGAAUAAAGACUUGGCAGGGAGGAUCAGGGUAUGCC